GACGAACGCUGGCGGCGUGCUUAACACAUGCAAGUCGAACGGAAAGGCCCUGCUUGCAGGGUACUCGAGUUGCGAACGGGUGAGUAACACGUGGGUGAUCUGCCCUCCACUUCGGGAUAGGCCUGGGCGACUGGGUCUAAUACCUGAUAGGAGCCAUUUUUAAUGGGAUGGUUGGAAAGUUUUUUCGGGGUAGGAUGAGCUGGCGGGCUAUCAGCUUGUUGGGGCGGUAAUGGCCUACCAAGGCGGCGACGCGUAGCCGGACUGUGGGGGUGAACGGCGACACUGGGACCGAGGGAAGGCCGAGACGCCUAAGGGUGGCAGAAGGGGGGAAUCCUGCACAAGCGGCGCCAGCCUGAUGAAGCGACGCUGCGGGUGGGAUGACGGCCUUCUGGUUGAAAACUACUUUCGCUAGGGACGAAGCUUUUUGUGACGGUACCUAGAUAAGAAGCACCGGCUAACUACGUG
rnacentral:rRNA from 1 species